CCUACGGGUGGCAGCAGUGAGGAAUAUUGGUCAAUGGGCGCGAGCCUGAACCAGCCAAGUCGCGUGAGGGAAGACGGUCCUAUGGAUUGUAAACCUCUUUUGUCGGGGAGCAAAAGACGCCACGCGUUGCGUUCCGAGAGUACCCUAAGAACAAGCAUCGGCUAACUCCGGGCCAGCAGCCGCGGUAAUACGGAGGAUGCGAUCGUUAUCCGGAUUUAGUGGGUGUAAAGGGUGCGCAGGCGGAAGAUCAAGUCAGCGGUAAAAUUGAGAGGCUCAACCUCUUCGAGCCGUUGAAACUGGUUUUCUUGAGUGAGCGAGAAGUAGGCGGAAUGCGUGGUGUAGCGGUGAAAUGCAUAGAUAUCACGCAGAACUCCGAUGGCGAAGGCAGCAUACCGGCGCUCAACUGACGCUCAUGCACGAAAGUGUGGGUAGCGAACAGGAUUAGAUACCCUUGUAGUC
rnacentral:rRNA from 1 species